UACGGGGGGGGCAAGCGUUGUUCGGAAUUACUGGGCGUAAAGGGCGCGUAGGCGGCCUACUAAGUCGGACGUGAAAUCCCUCGGCUCAACCGAGGAACUGCGUCCGAUACUGGCGAGGCUUGAAUUCGGGGGAGGGAUGUGGAAUUCCAGGUGUAGCGGUGAAAUGCGUAGAUAUCUGGAGGAACACCGGUGGCGAAGGCGGCAUCCUGGACCGAGAUUGACGCUGAGGCGCGAAAGCUAGGGUAGCAAACGGG
rnacentral:rRNA from 1 species